rnacentral:rRNA from 1 species
UGGGGAAUAUUGGACAAUGGGCGCAAGCCUGAUCCAGCCAUGCCGCGUGAGUGAUGAAGGCCCUAGGGUUGUAAAGCUCUUUCACCGGUGAAGAUAAUGACGGUAACCGGAGAAGAAGCCCCGGCUAACUUCGUGCCAGCAGCCGCGGUAAUACGAAGGGGGCUAGCGCUGUUCGGAUUUACUGGGCGUAAAGCGCACGUAGGCGGACUUUUAAGUCAGGGCUGAAAUCCCGGGGCUCAACCCCGGAACUGCCUUUGAUACUGGAAGUCUUGAGUAUGGUAGAGGUGAGUGGAAUUCCGAGUGUAGAGGUGAAAUUCGUAGAUAUUCGGAGGAACACCAGUGGCGAAGGCGGCUCACUGGACCAUUACUGACGCUGAGGUGCGAAAGCGUGGGGAGCAAACAGG